AUGGACGAAAGUCUGAAGCAGCAACGCCGCGUGAGGGAUGAAGGCCUUCGGGUUGUAAACCUCUUUUAUCAGGGACGAUAAUGACGGUACCUGAUGAAUAAGCCACGGCUAACUACGUGCCAGCAGCCGCGGUAAUACGUAGGUGGCAAGCGUUGUCCGGAUUUACUGGGCGUAAAGAGCGCGCAGGCGGUCGUUUAAGUCGAAUGUGAAAGCCCCCGGCUCAACUGGGGAGGGUCAUUCGAUACUGAUCGACUUGAAGGCAGGAGAGAGAAGUGGAAUUCCCGGUGUAGUGGUGAAAUGCGUAGAUAUCGGGAGGAACACCAGUGGCGAAGGCGACUUCUUGGCCUGUUCUUGACGCUGAGGCGCGAAAGCUGGGGGAGCAAACGGGAUUAGAUACCCCGGUAGUCCCAGCCGUAAACGAUGGACACUAGGUGUUGGUGGUAUCAACCCCGCCAGUGCCGUAGCUAACGCAUUAAGUGUCCCGCCUGGGGAGUAC
rnacentral:rRNA from 1 species